rnacentral:rRNA from 1 species
GACGAACGCUGGCGGCGUGCUUAACACAUGCAAGUCGAACGGAAAGGCCCUGCUUUUGUGGGGUGCUCGAGUGGCGAACGGGUGAGUAGCACGUGAGUAACCUGCCCUUGACUUUGGGAUAACUUCAGGAAACUGGGGCUAAUACCGGAUAGGAGCUCCUGCUGCAUGGUGGGGGUUGGAAAGUUUCGGCGGUUGGGGAUGGACUCGCGGCUUAUCAGCUUGUUGGUGGGGUAGUGGCUUACCAAGGCUUUGACGGGUAGCCGGCCUGAGAGGGUGACCGGCCACAUUGGGACUGAGAUACGGCCCAGACUCCUACGGGAGGCAGCAGUGGGGAAUAUUGCACAGUGGGCGGAAGCCUGAUGCAGCAACGCCGCGUGCGGGAUGACGGCCUUCGGGUUGUAAACCGCUUUCGCCUGUGACGAAGCGUGAGUGACGGUAAUGGGUAAAGAAGCACCGGCUAACUACGUG